GAAAACAUAAAACACAGCUUCAACAAAUCUGAAAUUCUGGCCACAUAGUUUUCCACGCUGAGACUUUCUUUGUCAUUGAUGUUCUCUUUUGAACCAACCUAGACUUGAGGGAGGUCAGAGGUCUCGCAGAACUGCACUGUAUCAUUUGGCCGAAUAAAUCAGCAUGCUCCCAAAAAUAAGCAGCUCUUCCUUUGAAUUGUGGAUAACAACGUGAGAGCUCGAUGAUUAUAGUUCAACUUGAUCUGGCUUACUGCAUUGGCAGAGAAACCUAUUACCUGACUACAGAAAACCUAUUAGUUGGACCACUGGACUUCACCCAGAGUGCCCUAACAUGUUUCAGCAGCUGAAUCAGUGGACUUCAGCUAUGUUCACACUCUGAUUACAUCUUUCUCUCCAAAUAGACAGCACUGACAGGGAAGAAAAAAAGAAACAGAAAAGAGUCUGCGAAAACAACUGACAAACUGGCAUAAUCCAGGGAGAGUGUAUUCAUAGUCAGCACUGAAAAGAGGUAGUACAUUGCUAGAACCAUGUGGAUAACUUUCAAAAAUAUAAAGUCUGGAGA